CCAGCACCCCGAGUGGUCGGGACGAUUAUUGGGCCUAAAGCAUCCGUAGCCGGCCUUACAAGUCCUCCGUUAAAUCCAGCUGCUUAACAGAUGGGCUGCGGAGGAUACUAUAAGACUAGGAGGCAGGAGAGGCAAGCGGUACUCAGUGGGUAGGGGUAAAAUCCGUUGAUCCAUUGAAGACCACCAGUGGCGAAGGCGGCUUGCCAGAAUGCGCUCGACGGUGAGGGAUGAAAGCUGGGGGAGCAAACCGG
rnacentral:rRNA from 1 species